AUGUUCUUACUUUUUCAAAGCUGGGUCAGGAACUACGCAGAAAACGGAAGAGUUCUUUUCGAUGAAAAUUGGUUUGAUCUCAUUCAUCAUUUCAUGAACGAGUCCUCCAAAUUUCCUCCGUAUAGCUGUAAUACUGUAAAUACUCCUAGUGAUUUCACCCUUGUAGAUAAUGACGUAACAUUUAAUAGUUCUUCUGAUGAAUCUGAGUCUCCGGUUAUCAUGUCAAGGAAACCUUUCGCAUCUAGUCCCGUAGUACUAGAAAGUGAGCCGAAGUGUUUAGAAUCAAAUUCUCCGAUCUUGUCUGGCAACAGUUUUAAAACAAUAUUGAGUCCUGUUAAUUGUAAACUGAAAACUCAUAGUGAUCUACAAGCAGGGAGUACCUCCACACCAAAGUUACCUUCUAAGUUCAAAGCAAGUAGUUCUGUAAUGAGUCAACGUAUGGAUAGUAAUUCCUCCUUCCAAAUAUCCAUCCCCCUAAAAGUUUCUGUCAGCAAUCAAGUAGUAAACAAUAACCUAAGAAACAGUGAUCGUGCUACAUUUGAUGAAAAAAAUAUGUUGAAAAUGUUUGGUGGCAGUAGUAAUCCAUCGUCCUUUUCACCAGAGAUUUUAACUUUCCAGAUUUCUAGUCCAGUUGGUUGUGGAUCAUCAAAACGACUGUUUCCUAAUGAGAAUAAUGUGGUCACAACUUUCAAAAAAGAGAAAGAGCAAGAUAUUACAGAUCUGAAAGAAAUUUUCUUUGGUUCUCCCAAGUACUUUAUUAGUGACAUGUGUAAUUCAGAGAAAAAUACAAAAACUUAUGAACACAGAUCAUUGAUGGAACACGACAUCUGUAAGAAAACAUCUACCUCUUCACCAGAAAUUUUGACUAGUAAAGUUUCAAAAUCAGUGAAUCUUGCAAUAUCACAGCAACUGUGUGCUGAUGGAAAUGGCGUUGCCUCAUCUGUUGGAGAGGGGACCAAACAAGCUGACUGCAUUGAAAAUGUAAAACAAAUCUUGUCAGACUCUUUUGACAUGUUUCUUGGAAAUUUUGAAGAUGACUUUUUGCCCUCAGUCCAGCCUCCAGAGAGCUUUUCUCAAGAUCAGGUCCUCACACAAAAAGAAAAUAAUGCUCCAAACUUUACUUUAAAUAUUAAACCCAAUGAAGGUUUGAAACCUACAAUUUCAAAGAGUACAUCAGGAAUUGAUACUGCCAUGGCUCAAGUUGAGAGUGAAUUUGGUUUCCGUCUCAGGAAAAAUCUUACAUUUUCUUCUUUAUCUACGAAAAGCAGUAUUCUGUUAAAAGAGUCUUUGUCCUCUUGCAAUUAUAACCCUCAGUUAAACAGAGGGCUCAGGGAUGAGUGCAAAAGUAAAGACACAGAAUCGUCAGUCCUCACCCAGUCCAUGCACAAGACCAAAGAUUUUCGACCUGGUAAUGAAAAUUCAGAUUUGCCUCAAGGAAAAUAUUCAAAUGAAGAUGGUGUGCCAUUUAUGGAGCAAGAAAUGAGUAAUAAAUCGACCGUUGUCAGAAAAUGUCAUGAAGGUGGCAUGCAAAACCCAAAACUUGAAAAAGAUUCUUCAAAAAAUAUAAUUCCGCAGAAAAUUUCAAUCUUCUAA
rnacentral:lncRNA from 1 species